AUCAGAUGUCAUCACACCUGCCUUUCUCCUGGAUGUCUUUUCUUAUCAUUACAGUUGAAAUGCAAGAGAAACCCUAAAAGAAAUGUGAAGCUGAGAAGGACACAGCUCUCUGACCAUGACCACAGGAAGUGGGCCUGAUGCAGAAGUGCUUCUCCUUCCCCUUGCCCCUGGACCUGAGCCGGAGCUGUCUAUCUACAUGAGGACACCAUCUGGCAACACUGAAAUGUUGCCCUCACUGUAUGCCAUCACCAGGAAGACAAGCAAUAGAUGAUGAGUGAAAAUAAAAUGUUUAGUUGGAAACUAUUUGGGAAUGGCUUUAUGUCCACAUAUGGACACAGCCUGGCUGGAACUGGGGAGAUCUUCCCUUUCUGGUGUCUUUUCAAGGUCUUGAGAUGAGCUCUAACAAAUAUCUCAGGCCAUCUGGCCUAGUUUUUCAUAAUUGUGACUCCUAAAUGUAAACACGGUCCGAGAGAAUAUCGGGAACAAAAAAAAGGCUAAUGAAAUUCUUCUAAUUUAA
ensembl:lncRNA novel transcript